AUUUGACCCAAAUCUUUCUAAAAAUAACAUUUAUGUUAAAUGAAUUCAUUUGUUUAUCGUUUUUUUUAAUGUCAAAUGAGUUCCAAUGACUUUACAUUUGACGAUGAUUUAAAUGAUGGCAGCCCUGAUAUUACAGAGUGUGACUGUGUUCACAUGAAGCUGCUCCUAAACGUGGAAGUGUUUUAGACGACUGAGGAAGUUUCUGCUCCACAGCUACAUUUAAAAAUCACAUUAAAAGAGUCAGUGUGAUUUGUAAACAUCAAACGUUUCCUCGUCACUGAUCAAAUAUUAGACGAGGGCAGAGGCGGAGAAACCAGACACUGAGCCAAAUCUAACGCUGGCGUCAUUUCUCCACCUGCUGCACCUGAAUCUAUGAGGAACAGAGGCUUUCUUUGUCUGCUUUACUGUCUGACUGACGCCACAGCGCCACCACCCUGCACCUCCACACACUGCAGCACAAUGUCAGAAUCUGGACCUGAGCUCACACUGACUCUUAUCUAAUCUGAGGACGCCCAUGUCCAGCUGUGUUCACUCACUCACCAUCUUGGCGUCAGGUGACAGUAGACUGUGUCCGUGGUCCAGUCCGCCCGGAGACACCUGCUGAAGCACUGACUGGCUGGUUGCCAUGGAGUUACCAGUGUGAUGACUGAUGGCAGCGGAGGACGAGACCUCGCCCUGGCUGUAACGCACUGACACACACACACACAGAGAGAGAGAGAGAAAAAUGUGAUUCAAACUUCAUUAAAGAAGCAACAGCAGAAGAUAAAAGUGGGUCAAACUCCACAAAGAAACAGACGCGGGGACAUUGUGUCGUGGGACACGGACGCGUCCUCGCUCCGCUGCAGCGAGUCUUGUAAACACACACACACAACAAUGGAGCUCCGCUGGACUCAUGACCCCCGCUGACACACAACAGCACGCGCUCAUAAAAAGGCCGUUAUCUCAGUGUCACCGGGAGAGAAGAAGAAGAAGAAGAAGAAGAAGAAGAAGAGAGGAUGUUGUUCAGCUCCACAGAAAAGCCAGGAUCUGUCCUCAGGAGGAGGAGGAGGAGCAGGAGGAGGAGGAGGAUGGUGGGAGUGGGAGUGAAGAUCUUGAGCAGAGUGAUUAUUAAGCUAAAGCAGAGCAGUGACUGUGGAGGUGACGACGAUGACGUCAUCAUCACGGUGGAGGUGGAGGUGAUGGUGUCUGACUCCGCCCCCCUCCUCCCUGACCCCGGUCUGACCCUGUCCUGUCACAGGACCACUUGGCCUUUGUGUCACAGCUUCUGCAGGCUGACUUUGAGGUGGAGAUUACAGGUACAAUGUGGAUUGUUCUGCUGCUGUUUUCAAAGCUCAGAAUAACAAUGGCAUUUGCUCAGCUCACUCACUCACGCUCAUUGAUCACUUGUCUCCUCUGAUCACAUCACACUCACAACAGUUUCACUCACUCACACACACACACACACAC